rnacentral:rRNA from 1 species
AUUGAACGCUGGCGGCAUGCCUUACACAUGCAAGUCGAACGGUAACAGGUCUUCGGAUGCUGACGAGUGGCGAACGGGGGAGUAAUACAUCGGAACGUGCCCGAUCGUGGGGGAUAACGAAGCGAAAGCUUUGCUAAUACCGCAUACGAUCUCCGGAUGAAAGCAGGGGACCGCAAGGCCUCGCGCGAACGGAGCGGCGGAUGGCAGAUUAGGUAGUUGGUGGGAUAAAAGCUUACCAAGCCGACGAUCUGUAGCUGGUCCGAGAGGACGACCAGCCACACUGGGACUGAGACACGGCCCAGACUCCUACGGGAGGCAGCAGUGGGGAAUUUUGGACAAUGGGCGAAAGCCUGAUCCAGCCAUGCCGCGUGCAGGAUGAAGGCCUUCGGGUUGUAAACUGCUCUUGUACGGAACGAAAAGACUCUGGUUAAUACCUGGGGUCCAUGACGGUACCGUAAGAAUAAGCACCGGCUAACUACGUGCCAGCCGCCGCCGUAA